AGAGUUUGAUUAUGGCUCAGGAUGAACGCUGGCGGCGUGCUUAACACAUGCAAGUCGAACGGAGUUUUAACGGAAGUUUCGGAUGGAAGUUUAAAACUAGUGGCGGACGGGUGAGUAACGCGUGGGUAACCUGCCUCAUACAGGGGGAUAACAGUUAGAAAUGACUGCUAACACCGCAUAAUAUAGCGAAACCGCAUGAUUUUGCUAUCAAAUAUUUAUAGGUAUGAGAUGGGCCCGCGUCUGAUUAGCUAGUUGGUGGGGUAAAAGCCUACCAAGGCGACGAUCAGUAGCCGGCUUGAGAGAGUGACCGGCCACAUUGGGACUGAGACACGGCCCAAACUCCUACGGGAGGCAGCAGUGGGGAAUAUUGGACAAUGGGGGAAACCCUGAUCCAGCGAACCGCCGCGUGAGUGAAGAAGUAUUUCGGUAUGUAAAGCUCUAUCAGCAGGGAAGAUAAUGACAGUACCUGACUAAGAAGCCCCGGCUAACUACGUGCCAGCAGCCGC
rnacentral:rRNA from 1 species